UACAGAGGUCUCAAGCGUUGUUCGGAUUCAUUGGGCGUAAAGGGUGCGUAGGCGGCGCGGUAAGUCGGGUGUGAAAUCUCGGGGCUUAACUCCGAAACUGCAUUCGAUACUACCGUGCUUGAGGACUGGAGAGGAGACUGGAAUUUACGGUGUAGCGGUGAAAUGCGCAGAUAUCAGGAGGAACACCGGUGGCGAAGGCGGGUCUCUGGGCCGAUACUGACGCUGAGGAGCGAAAGCGUGGGGAGCAAACAGG
rnacentral:rRNA from 1 species